rnacentral:lncRNA from 1 species
UGAUUCAAAGUCUGACUGUUCAUGGUACUAAAGCAUUUCUGUCUGAGAAAAACAUUCCUGCAUUUAAUUUGUUGGUGGCAGUGUCCUUAUAUGACAAAACCAGUCUCACAAUUCAUUAUAAACAAUAACCUCAGCCGGGCAUGAUCCACCAUGCCCGGCAGAGAAAAUGAAUCUUAAGAUAUCUCUGCCCCUCUUGGGCCCCUCGCCCUUUCUUCUUCAUGUCUCUUCCAUGAGGGCUGAAUAUUUGUCAUACACUUUUGAGCGUGAAAAGGGACACUAUUAACAAUUAUACCAGGGCAACAGGCAUAAAACUGUAACAUGGGGCCAGCCUGGUUUAACUUCAUAUGCUCCUUAAAGGACUUUAUUGAUGCCACCUUCACUCCAUUUCCAGUAUUCAUCAUCCUCUGCAUUCCCAUCACACUCUGUAACUAUCUUUAAUAUGGUGCAGACCACAUGGCAUCUGUUAUUUGUGCUAUGUUUGUCUCUCCCUUUGACUUGUGAGCUCUUUGAGGGUAAGAGCUCUAUCUUAAUCAUCUUUGCCCAGUACCUCCAUUCUACAGCGCAAGGUCUGGCACAACCAAGGCGCUCAAUGUUUGAUGAUGAAGAAUAAUGGAUACAUUUGGAAGGAGAUAGGUGACAGACUUGGCGAAGACUGGAGAAGUUAUU